AGUUACAUAAGGAACAUGUGCAUUAAAUUCACAGGUUGAAUAAAUGUUUCUAUAGAGGUGGACAAGUUAUCACCAUCCGGUGAUAACCGACCGAUCCGAUGCUUCCGUUUUGCAUUCGUUCGGAUUUAAACGGUUUUCGGAUUGUAUCGGGUGAUUAUUUUGGAUACAAUAGAGUUGAGCCGGUUCGGUUCGGAUGAUUAUUUUGGGUCCGUCGGAAACCGAACCCGACCAAACUUAAUUAUUAAAUAUUAUUUAUAUAAUUAACAGCCUGGCUAUAAAUCCUUUUCUUGUUUCAUUCUUCACUGCUUUCUCAGUCUCCCCAAACCCUAAUUUUUCAUUCUUCACUUUCUCAGCCUCCCCUCACAUAGAAAUCCUAAUACACUUCUCUCUCACUUUCUUUCUUGUCCUCUCUGCCGCUUCCAUAACCAUUCGUUGUUUCACUUUCAUCUUCCUCUAUCAUCUUUCAUCGUUGCUUCACCAUCUACUCAUCUUCAUCUCAGAUUUGUUUUCAUUGAGUAGAUUUGAUGCUUCUAAAGAUCUGGACAAGGAAAUGAACUAUUUGUUGGUGUUGAAUCUCGGUUUUUGAUCUGGAUAGCAAAAUAAACUAUAAUACAAAGCGGAGAUUGAAGUGAUGAGAGCUAACGAGUCCAACACUAUGUUCAUCAAUUUCGAGCAUGUUAUCAGAUCCAACGAUCUUCUUUAGAUGAAUAUUUGAGGUUUGAACCUUAUCUGUCAAGAGGUUAAGAGAGUUCUCUACAUUAGAAAUUGGAAGGCUUGUAUCUGUUAUAGGAGUGGUAACAGGGACAAGUGAGGUUCGACCUGAGCUUCACCAAGGAACUUUCAAGUAUCUGGAAUGUGGCGGGGUUAUAAAAAAUGUUGAACAACAAUUCAAGUUACCAUGAAGUUUGAUUCUUUGGUCAUGGUAGUUUGAUUCUUGGGUCAUGGAUCUUGUUGUGAUAUGAUUAAUACUAUCAGAGGAAACGAUAAAGAAGGUUUCUCAAAGAAAUUUCCAAAUACAAGGCAUAAGCCCUUCAAGGUAUACAAAUAUUGUUCUAUGAGUUGAUUUCUCUUCGGAUCUCUUGAACAAAUAUAACGUUUCAAUUUGGUUGCUUUUAGGCCCUCCAGGUUCUGGAAAAAUCACACUCUAUGGUAUUGGCUUGGCUGAAAAACUUGAUCUAAAUUAGAACAAAUAAGAGAAUACACACACUUCUUAUAUCAUCUAUUUUUUCAUGUUUUAGUUCUAGCUUGAUAUUAAUCAUAAAAUAAAUUGAAAAGAUGCAUAAGUAUUCUAGCAGAUUUAUCCAGAAAAGAAAAACAUGCAAAUAUCAGUCUGAUCUAAAUUUAAACACAUGAAGGUAAUAUAGAGGUUUCUUUAUACUUUGAGGGUCAUCUAUUUUUUUCUCAUACAAAUAGAAAAGAUUGAUAAUAAAAUGGUUGUCCUUUUGAUAAUACAAUGCAGACUGUUGCAGCUGAAGGGCAGAAAACAAAUUUGAUAACAAACUAUUUUAAGGUCUUAAUGUGAUUCUCCUUAUUUUUCUUUAAUAUUUAUUGAUAAUUUCUUUGAUGUUACAGGAUGUGAAAUAAUUCAAAGAUUCGAGAGAUCGGUGGAUUCACACUUAUUUAGAUAAUUUGUAAUUUGUAUUGAUUGUGGUUGAAUUAUAUCUUAUUAAAUGUGAUUUAUGUUAUUUGAAAAUUAAGUUAAGGAUUUAUUUUAUUUUUGAAUUUGAAUGAUUUAGAUUCCAAUUUCAUUGAAAAAGUAAUAAAUAUUAGUUCAGUUUUGAAAGAUUAAAUUUCUACAAAUAACUCAAUUUUUUAAAACAAAAUUAAGUCAUUUAUAUUUACAAUAUAUAAAAAAAAAAAAAAAAAUAUUAAUGAUCCAAUAACAAACCCAAAAAAUAAUCUGUAUUCUGGGCUUUGAUGUCAAACAGAUGGACUAAAAUGUGACUGAUUUUAAAAUUGGGCUUAAAUUUUCAAUUGGUCCAAUAAGUAUACUAUCCGGAAAAAACCGAAUUAAUUAACCGAACCCGAUUUAAACCGGACCCGAGAAAACCGAAAAAAACUGGUCGGAAUUUGGGCCUGUCUUUUUCACCCGAGGGUAAGAACGGUUUUGGAUUUUGGGCCCGAAUCCGAUCCGGCCCGAUCCGAUGCCCAGCCCUAGUUUCUACAACAACGACUUUCACAUGUUCCACACGCCUAAGGGAUGAAGACAACACACUUAGCUAGGCGCAAAAGUACAUCUACUAAAUUGAGACAUCAUCUGAGUUGUUGGAUGGAACUUUUAAGCUUCUAAUGGAUCUUCGUCGUUAAACGUAGCACCUAGUUUGCAUAGAAACCGGGAACUUUCCAUU